rnacentral:rRNA from 1 species
UUACGAAACGAAAAAGGUUCUUCUCUUAUAAAAGAGGGCCCACGACGGUACCGUAAGAAUAAGCACCGGCUAACUACGUGCCAGCAGCCGCGGUAAUACGUAGGGUGCAAGCGUUAAUCGGAAUUACUGGGCGUAAAGCGUGCGCAGGCGGUUAUGUAAGACAGAUGUGAAAUCCCCGGGCUCAACCUGGGAACUGCAUUAGUGACUGCAUAGCUGGAGUGCGGCAGAGGGGGGUGGAAUUCCGCGUGUAGCAGUGAAAUGCGUAGAUAUGCGGAGGAACACCGAUGGCGAAGGCAAUCCCCUGGGCCUGCACUGACGCUCAUGCACGAAAGCGUGGGGAGCAAACAGGAUUAGAUACCCUGGUAGUCCACGCCCUAAACGAUGUCAACUGGUUGUUGGGAAUUCACUUUCUCAGUAACGAAGCUAACGCGUGAAGUUGACCGCCUGGGGAGUACGGCCGCAAGGUUAAAACUCAAAGGAAUUGACGGGGACCCGCACAAGCGGUGGAUGAUGUGGUUUAAUUCGAUGCAACGCGAAAAACCUUACCCACCUUUGACAUGUAUGGAAGAUCGCAGAGACGCGAUUGUGCUCGAAAGAGAGCCAUAACACAGGUGCUGCAUGGCCGUCGUCAGCUCGUGUCGUGAGAUGUUGGGUUAAGUCCCGCAACGAGCGCAACCCUUGCCAUUAGUUGCUACAUCCAGUUGGGCACUCUAAUGGGACUGCCGGUGACAAACCGGAGGAAGGUGGGGAUGACGUCAAGUCCUCAUGGCCCUUAUAGGUGGGGCUACACACGUCAUACAAUGGCUGGUACAAAGGGUUGCCAACCCGCGAGGGGGAGCUAAUCCCAUAAAGCCAGUCGUAGUCCGGAUCGCAGUCUGCAACUCGACUGCGUGAAGUCGGAAUCGCUAGUAAUCGUGGAUCAGAAUGUCACGGUGAAUACGUUCCCGGGUCUUGUACACACCGCCCGUCACACCAUGGGAGCGGGUUCUGCCAGAAGUAGUUAGCCUAACCGCAAGGAGGGCGAUA